CCGCGCGUCCCGCCCCGCGCACGUGACCCCUGCAGCCGCCAUCAUGGGGCAGGCGCCGCCAUCUUGAGGAGGUCGGCGCAGAGGCUGACUGGCUACUCGGCUGAGGGGAGCGGGCGGGCCCCGCUGUCCUCCGCCGCCACGACCUUGCUUGGAUGGCCGGAGGGGAAGGAGAACCGGCGGUGAAGAAGCUCCCUUCCCCGGCUGUCCUCGGGCUGCGGUAUUCUGCUGGCUCACGCUGUCAGCAGGGCCUGUGGCCUGGCCUGGCCGCCUCAGGCGGGAGGGUGGCAGGCCCUUCUGCCCUGCAGGCCCAGGUUCCUGCUUGGCCCGCUAGCAGCAUGCAGUGCAGGACCCUGAGCCUGCAGCCCUCCCUACUUGCAGUGAGCAUCUUGGGGGAUUUACUUUCAGUAUCUGGUUUAUUCACCCUGUGCGUUAAAACACAAGUGAUAACGCUCCCUACUGGAGCCUCCAAGGGGGCUGGUGGCAGCAUACACUGGUGUUUCACCACAGUGUGUAACAUGGAGCUGAUGAAACGCACUUGAAAAGGUCUGAUGCCAGUGGGGAGUGACUUGUGUCCUAAGGGUCAGCCCCAGGACAGAUGAGAGUAAGCUCAAGCCUCACAAGUUCACUACUAUCUGGUAUCUUUCAGCCAAGGACCAACCCAGCAGCCCUUAGUGAGCCAUGAUGCAGCUCCUGUACCAGCACCAUCAGUGCUGGCUGGGCAGCCCUGUCGCAUGCCUAUGGGUUGAUUACUUUUUGGAAGAAGUGUUACCCAUGAAACAUUACUUUUUAUCAGACAAAGCUGAAUGGCCUGAGAGGUCAGGGGAGGUGAAUUAGUGGUUCCUAAUGACUUGUAAUUCUGUGAAUUUGUGAAUAAGUAACCUUGGCUUGAUUGGCCACGGUGGACUUGCUCCUCUCUGGGGAAUGAUUCUGCCCGGAGGAACUGCUCUGCUUGCUUUGUGACACACUGCACGUGCAUGGGACAGCACACACGCCAUACCUGUGAGGGGCCAGCAGGCUGCAUCCACUAUGCAGGUUUUGCUUUAUUUACUUCUUGAAUGACAACCCCAGGCAGACCCAGGUAUGCUGAAUGGCCCUGUCGCAAAGGACCAGCUGAUCCUUGGCCCUGAAAGCUGGUAGACAAGUGUUGCAAAGCACAUAGCUGCUCAGAAAUCUGGCUGGGCACAAUAAUAAUUACACUAACAAAAUGAAAUUUGAACUGUUGGCUCAGGCAAAGUUAAGUUUCUGGAACUCUCCCUUCAGCGUUCCUUUCUCAGUCUCAGCUACAGGGGGAAAAAAAAAAAAAAAAGUUAACUGCAACCUAGACUGGCAAGCCAUUAUAUCUGUUGAAUGUUACUUUCCAAGCUGACAGCAUUGCUGUAGGCAGGUUCCUAAAGUCAUUUGACAAGUCAGCAGUAGCCUGGGAGGGAAGACAGAAAAGCUUGUUCUGUGCUCUACAGCCAGGCCCCUGCCUUUUCUCUCCAGCAGACUGUGCCGCCAGGGGCCCUGCAGUCUCCAUGUCCAGAAGGGCAACAAUGUCCGAUCUCCAAAAUGUUAAAGGCAAGAACUAUGCAUUGUUAAAUUAAAGCCAGCAUCCUCAACACUCCUGAAUAUCUGCUGGCAGAUGCUUCCAUUUCCCCUCCAUCCUCUUUGCUCCACAGACUGCUGUGUGCUGCAGCAGCCCACUUAGCACGCUCACUCACAGGUUUAUCCUGUUUGGUGUCCCAUGGUAUCACAGAGAGAGUCAAGUGUCUCAUCAAGGUCUGUGCCUAGGCACCAUGCUGAUAGAGGGUCUGCUGAUUAAUCACACCAAGAAAAGAUAAAUCACGGGGAAUGUAAUUGUGCAUGAACAUAACAUCACCAUUUGGCCAGGAAUUGAAUUUUAAUGAGAUUUUAUGCUGUACUUAACAUUCCAUGAUGUCAGUGCUUGUCCACACUACAAACUGCUUCUUAUUGCCAGCAGAAUGCCAGGUAAAGGCCCCUGAAACAGAGAGCUGGGAAUGAUGUUAGUCGAGGCCAGGAAAACUAUGUGCACUUUCUUGGGAAUUUGAGGCUAAAAAUGGCUUCAGGCAGGUUUCCCUCAUUGUGGCUGAAAUUACGCAUGUCUGGGACACCCAACAGCACAUUGGUGGGAAUGGUAUGUGGCUUCAGUACAAGUGAAGUGGCGGAGACUCCAAACCCAGAAGAUAGAAAAUGAAUCCUAAAAGCAGAUCUCAGGCCUGCUUAUUUGAGCAAAUGACAGCGAGGAAGGAAGUACCCUCCCAAGCUGCUAAACUGAAUUCAGAUGUCAAAAGGAAUACACAGCACCAAAACUGCCUUGUUUGUGGCUUUGUUUUGCCUGGUUUGUGGCCAAACCAGGGCACUUUUGUAUGAAUGUACAAGCUAAUGGACUUGUGGCAGUAACUUGAUACUGGAAAAGACAGCUAGGUAAAUGCAAAUACUUAAAGAUAGUAACAUCCACUGUAUGAGAUCCUGCCACAAGGUCCACCCCAUGGACACAGCUUUGCCAACGCUUCGGUGACAGAGAUACAUUCUUCUAGGCUGCAAGCCCUGAAGCAUACCACUGAAUCACAACACUGGAAAAUGGCCCAGACCUCCCUCUGUGCUCUGGGAAGAACAGAAGAGCCGUGCUGAGGUGAAAGGUAUGGAAAUUUGCCUCAUCAGUGCUGCAGGUUACUACACUUCUCUAAACCAGGUCUCCCAAGGCAAGAGGAAGCACAGAUAAAAUCCUACUGCUUAAAAUGCUUCUCCAACAGAGCAGUAAAAGAAAAAGAACAAAAAAAUUUAAUCUGCAGCCUUUGGAAAAAGCGCCAGUAUGAAAGAGUUAAAAGAGAAAGGUCAGCAAGCUCUAUGAAGGCAUUAUCUAUGCAAGCAGCAUCCCUUAACCUCACCUGGCCUGAACUGACUGCUAAUGGACAUUUACCCUCUGCUGCUGCUGCAGAGCCACCCUACUCCAUUCUCUCUCUGCAGGGCUGACUCACUCUGCAGUGCACACUCACAGGCACGCAAUCUGCCACGUUACAGAGGACUAUUUAUGUGCCAGAAGACGCCACCUCUUUUCAUCAGGAACUCUUACGAGUCUAUCAUUUCACUCUCUGAGACUGCCUGUUCUCUUCCAAACCAAAUAAAAAGUCAAUCCCUGCCAGAUGGGACUGCACUCUGAUCUAGCAUGCUGCCAUCAGUAAAUGAAGGAAAAGAACCAAAAGGUCCUUUAUUUUCUUAAUGCCCUGAAUCACUUGAGCAAUUUGCUGAUGCAAGUGCAUCAGUGAAGGACUUGAAAUGCGAGUUUUCACCUGGGAGUCAUCAAUGAGGAUCUGGAGCAUCGCUGUCAGAAAACACUUGGCCAAGGCAACACACUCAGAUUGUUAGCUUUAUUCCUGGCAUAUCUGCAGGUACUCAGUGCAAAGCAAUCCUCCACCUCCACAUGCUAACCCCAGUUUUUGUUUUAUGCUCUGUUCUCUUGACUUGCGUGGGUUUAUGUAUUAAUGAGAAAUGCCUGAUGUUCCAAGGUGUGAACAAAAAUGCCAUCAAUAGGAUUUUGCCUGCAUUUGGUGAUGUAAGUAUCCAUCACCACCCUGAGCCUAGUAACUGCCUUCUGCAAUCUGUACAAUCGGAUCUUAAAGAGUUCCUAUAGACCAGUGCCUUCACACUGCUUAUUUCUCUUAGAGGGGAGCACUACCAUCAGCAUUUCUCUGAUGGUUGCUCUCUUAGAUGCAUUUUGCUCAUUUUGUAAAUUGACAAAAAUCAAGGCUGGCAGCAGGUUCCCCUUAAAGAAGGUAAAACCAGAUCUUAAAACAUAUUUGCAGCCCCAGCCAUGACUUUCUCCUGUUCUGCUACACAAAGCAAAAUACAAUGCUUCUCACCAGAACUGCAAUGUGGCACAUGCUUUCUAGAGAGCCUGAAUUUGUGACUCACCCCCCUCCUAGCUGCAAGCUCUAUCAGACUACAUGGAAAUACUGGGAAAGAGAAUUCACUGCAAUCAGUGCUGAGAGAGAAUUAUGCUACAGUUGCUGUAAAUGUUUGACCCCUGCGUAAAGCCUAAUUCAGAAGUUUAGAAUCUACUGCUGCUGAAGAAUGAUCAACACAAUUCAGAUCAGGAAUUUUUCCCCUUAUCCCAGGCAAUGGUUAAGCAGGCAUCCAGGAUUUUCCUUAAGUCAGCUUACACCUCUACAGCCCAGGCACCACCACUGCCCAGACUGCUGUGAAGAAAAGCCCUUCUGAAACACAAGACCAGCCGUACAGCUCACUCCAAAGCCAAGCAGCUGACAGCCUAUAAAUGAAUGCAGACAAUGAGUUUCUUAGCAAACAGAAUAAGCCAAUUAAUUAUUGAUAAUCAGCAAUAUUUAAAACUACACCUUCACAAAAAACAGUGAAAAUACACACUAGCAAAACAAUUGGCUCAUAGCUGAAGUUUCCUGAAUGGUCCCCAGUUUGGAGACCAGCUACCCAGAAGGUGCAUGAGGUGCCGCCAGGCCUGGGCCCAUGAAUGCUCCUGCCAGGUGAGAUGCUCCAAACAGUUUCAGUGAACUCCUCCUGCUCUGACCAUAGCUCUUCAUGGCAAUUACAUCAGACUUGUUUGCUGCACAGGCACAUGGGUGAAAUGCAUGUACACCACCAGCACAUCUCCAGUCCCAAGUAUGGUGACAGAAAAUGUUCUGACAGAUCACUCCAGAUUGCUCAGUUUAGUCUGAUCACAAAGAUGCUACUAGCAGUAGGUCUUUAGUAACAUUUUGGCUUGAAAAGGGUAGAGCUUGAGCAGCUCUCCAAACUGCACAACAAAGAUUAAGGUGAUCCUUAACUUCCUGCAGGCAAUCUGGAACAAGCUCUAAUCUGAAGGGGUCCAACAUACAUUUCCCAUAUAAGCUUUAGCAUUGCUUUGCAACACUGAAAUCCCCACAAGAGAACCUGGCUACAGCAUUCACUACCUAUGAGAACAUAACUUCUCAGCUUAAACGCUUCUGAUUUACUAGUUAAAAAAAUGAGUUCUUGAGUGAACUGGUUUUGUUGAUGACACUAUCAUUUAGUUACUUCAGACAAUUGCUGCUAACAGUGCAGCUUUCCAACCAGCUAAGUUUCCGCAGAGCCAUCACCAUAACAAGCUGCCUAAAGGCUCUUCAGUAGCUCCUAUUCCUUGUCACAUGCUGAAGCCCGCACCCUUGCUCCCUGACCCUGUCUGCUCAGGCCAUGUUGCACAGCCUAUUACAUGGCAUUACAUGUGCCAGAGCAAAGGUGUACUGCUUGAUCAGGGUGAGCACAGCACUGCAACAGCCUUGCAAUUCCUCCUCACCAUGAGUACUGCCUGUGGGCAGCAGCUGGAAACAGCAUCGCUACUGGCCCAGGAGAAAGAGGGAACAGUUUAACAGUUAUGACAGCAUCACUGCCGCAUGGUGCUCAGUCACUUCAAGAACCUGCCUGCCCCUUGAAGGAACACCUCCUCUUCCUAAAGGAGCAGCAAAAGCAUGAAAUCAGAGGCAGAGGACUCAUUACAGCAAUGUAGUGAGGAAGUUUUAUUUGGAAACAUGGUAUAAGUUUGUAACCCAACACUGGGUGCACGACUCUGAUGCCGGAGCAUACGCGAUUACUACUGAAACACAGGAGUGUUUCGGACAAUUGCUGUAAUAAAACACAAAAUUCUCAUACUCCAAUACCAGGACACUACAGCAAUCUUUAGAAUCAAAGUUACAUCCAAGGAAUUCUCUGCACUUACAAUUGACCCCACAGUGUAAUUACCUAUAUAUAAGAUUAAUAUAUAGCAUGGGAAAUUGAAAAUCCUUGCUCCAUAGAUGUAUGAACAUGUCAAGUCUUUUAUAAAUAAACAUCCAGUGAAGAGAAAAAA